GCUCAGUAUGAAAACGUAGCGAGCAUCACUAGCCAGUGCGGGAAUCCAAGAUGACAUAUCCCUACCUGCUGGCUGUGUUGGCGUGGGUGGCAGCGGGCACCGUAGCCAGUGGCACUCCGCGAAUCCUGGAGGCUUCUUUCGUCAGCCAAGUCAACAGUGCCAGUGCCAGCGCUUUCACGGAGGUACUGGCAACCCAUUCUUCGGCGACGUCCCCUAGUAAGAGGAAAUUUCGGAUUCUGCAUCGGAACGAGACGCGCCCCACACCUACAAGCGUGGUGCCCCUGAGCCAAGCGACCUGUCUCUCGUUGGCAGUGCCAGCCCAGGGCCAGGCGAGGUAAAAGUGGUCAAACGCUCAGCUCAGUCUCAGCCCUUAGUUCGUUAUCUGCCACAGAAUCUUGUUACCGUGCUGGAGAGAGCGUGUACAUCUACCUCCACGGUCACUGAAACCGGGAUUCACCAUAGUUGUUGCAGGUUGUCGCUGUGAAGCCUGUGACUACGUAGCCGGCCAAGAUCCCUGUAGGUGCCUCCCAGUGGCUGGAUGUGGCAUAGAGCUGUAAUAGAUGUGUAGUUUUAUGUUUGUAGGUAGGCCUCUACAUACACACCUGUAUGUGUUUCAGGGCCGGGAAAAGUGUUAAUUUAUUGUUAAAAAAUAUAGUGCAAAUAAAGAUCAGGCCAUAAUAUACAUAAUAAACAUACAACCUUUAUGUUAUAGAUAUGAAGACUGCCAUACACAUAUCAUCAAAACAAUACUGUAAUUCCAAUGAUUUUCUUUUGACAUUACUAGUACUGAAGUUGACCCUGGAAGCUAAAUCAACUUACCUCCUGUCACCUGGCCUCAUGACUUGGUUUCACUGCAAUGUCACUCCCUCGGGCUUGCUGCAUCUCAGCUGUUUUCAGUCAGGCUUUGAGGAUCCAACACCAUAUCGAUAUUUAUUAACCUGCUGUGGUGAUCGCAGACUGUAAGUACUCAUUGCUGCUACACUCAUGAAAAGAAAGAAAGAAAAAAAGAAAAAAAAGAGGAAAGAAUAAAUAACAAAAGACACACACACACGCACACAUCCACAUAUACACCAUUUAUAUUGGUAUUGUUUGUCUUCUCGGCAGUGUCCUUGCGGGUGUACACUAAUUAUCCGUCCCUUUCUAAUUACUGGCCAUCCUUGUAUAUUUAAUUUCUUUGUAAUAAUAAUCACUGUAUGAUAAC